rnacentral:tRNA from 1 species
GGGCCCGUAGCUCAGCUUGGUAGAGCAGCAGGCUCAUAACCUGUAGGUCGGGCGUUCAAGUCGCCCCGGGCCCACCA